GCCAGGUGUGGUGGCACAUGCCUGUAAUCCCAGCAGCUUCAGGAGGCUGAGGCAGGGGGAUAGCCAGUUCAGAGCCAGCCUCAA
rnacentral:sRNA from 1 species